UACGGGGGGGGCAAGCGUUGUUCGGAAUUACUGGGCGUAAAGGGCGCGUAGGCGGCCUUCUAAGUCGGACGUGAAAUCCCUCGGCUUAACCGAGGAACUGCGUCCGAUACUGAAAGGCUUGAAUUCGGGAGAGGGAUGCAGAAUUCCAGGUGUAGCGGUGAAAUGCGUAGAUAUCUGGAGGAAUACCGGUGGCGAAGGCGGCAUCCUGGACCGACAUUGACGCUGAGGAGCGAAAGCCAGGGGAGCAAACGGG
rnacentral:rRNA from 1 species